rnacentral:rRNA from 1 species
AUUGAACGCUGGCGGCAUGCCUUACACAUGCAAGUCGAACGGUAACGGGCCUUCGGGUGCCGACGAGUGGCGAACGGGUGAGUGAUGCAUCGGAACGUACCUUUCAGUGGGGGAUAACGUAGCGAAAGUUACGCUAAUACCGCAUAUUCUGUGAGCAGGAAAGCAGGGGAUCGCAAGACCUUGCGCUGAUUGAGCGGCCGAUGUCAGAUUAGCUAGUUGGUGAGGUAAAGGCUCACCAAGGCGACGAUCUGUAGCGGGUCUGAGAGGAUGAUCCGCCACACUGGAACUGAGACACGGUCCAGACUCCUACGGGAGGCAGCAGUGGGGAAUUUUGGACAAUGGGGGCAACCCUGAUCCAGCCAUGCCGCGUGAGUGAAGAAGGCCUUCGGGUUGUAAAGCUCUUUCGGCCGGGAAGAAAUCGUAUGGGCUAAUACCCUGUGCGGAUGACGGUACCGGCAUAAGAAGCACCGGCUAACUACGUGCCAGCAGCCGCAGUAAGAC